UACACUGUGAGGUCCUUUGGCAUCCGAAGAAAUGAGAAAAUCGCUUGCCACGUCACAGUACGCGGGGAUAAAGCUCUCCA
rnacentral:tRNA from 1 species